rnacentral:tRNA from 1 species
GAGGGUGUAGCUAAGUGGUAGAGUGCAUGCUUAGCAUACACAAGUCCUGAGUUCAAUCCCCAGCACCUCCU